AUUGAACGCUGGCGGCAUGCCUUACACAUGCAAGUCGAACGGUAACAGGUCUUCGGAUGCUGACGAGUGGCGAACGGGUGAGUAAUACAUCGGAACGUGCCCGAUCGUGGGGGAUAACGAAGCGAAAGCUUUGCUAAUACCGCAUACGAUCUACGGAUGAAAGCAGGGGACCGCAAGGCCUUGCGCGAACGGAGCGGCCGAUGGCAGAUUAGGUAGUUGGUGGGAUAAAAGCUUACCAAGCCGACGAUCUGUAGCUGGUCUGAGAGGACGACCAGCCACACUGGGACUGAGACACGGCCCAGACUCCUACGGGAGGCAGCAGUGGGGAAUUUUGGACAAUGGGCGAAAGCCUGAUCCAGUCAUGCCGCGUGCAGGAUGAAGGCCUUCGGGUUGUAUACUGCUUUUGUACGGAACGAAAAGACUCUGGUUAAUACCUGGGGUCCAUGACGGUACCGUAAGAAUAAGCACCGGCUAACUACGUG
rnacentral:rRNA from 1 species